UGCACCAUGGCUCAGCGGUGGAGCUUUAUGCUUUGUGUGCUGAAGGUCCCGGGUUCAAAUCCUGACACCCCCGGGGUUAGAAU